rnacentral:rRNA from 1 species
GAUGAACGCUGGCGGCGUGCCUAAUACAUGCAAGUAGAACGCUGAAGCUUGGUGCUUGCACCGAGCGGAUGAGUUGCGAACGGGUGAGUAACGCGUAGGUAACCUGCCUGGUAGCGGGGGAUAACUAUUGGAAACGAUAGCUAAUACCGCAUGACAACAGUUAUUGCAUGAUAACUGUUUAAAAGGGGCAAUUGCUCCACUACCAGAUGGACCUGCGUUGUAUUAGCUAGUUGGUGAGGUAACGGCUCACCAAGGCGACGAUACAUAGCCGACCUGAGAGGGUGAUCGGCCACACUGGGACUGAGACACGGCCCAGACUCCUACGGGAGGCACCAGUAGGGAAUCUUCGGCAAUGGACGGAAGUCUGACCGAGCAACGCCGCGUGAGUGAAGAAGGUUUUCGGAUCGUAAAGCUCUGUUGUAAGAGAAGAACGAGUGUGAGAGUGGAAAGUUCACACUGUGACGGUAUCUUACCAGAAAGGGACGGCUAACUACGUG